rnacentral:lncRNA from 1 species
GCUAUGUCUGCCCCAGCUAUCUUAGGUCCUCCCUAUACGAUAGCAGUUUUCUAAAAGCUAUUAUAUUUGAGACAUAUUAUAGCGUUGUUUUUAACUUGCUAUCGUAUGUUCUAUCAUAGUGAUCUAUCAAUGCUAUAUCUAUUAUCGAUUAUGUACUAUUAGAAACUGUUCCUAAAAACAUGUUUUGCUGCAAAUUAGAUUUACAUAAAAAUUAAUAUUCAAUUAAUAUUUCAUUAAUAAAACCAAAAUGUACUUGCAUACCACAAACAUGUAUACAUUUUCAUCAAACCUUACACGGACAUCAUUA